AAGAGCUUUUGGAAUAAGGGCUGGGCAAGACCGGUGCCAGCCGCCGCGGUAACACCGGCAGCUCUAGUGGUAGCAGUUUUUAUUGGGCCUAAAGCGUCCGUAGCCGGUUUAAUAAGUCUCUGGUGAAAUCCUGUAGCUUAACUGUGGGAAUUGCUGGAGAUACUAUUAGACUUGAGACCGGGAGAGGUUAGAGGUACUCCCAGGGUAGAGGUGAAAUUCUGUAAUCCUGGGAGGACCGCCUGUUGCGAAGGCGUCUAACUGGAACGGUUCUGACGGUG
rnacentral:rRNA from 1 species